CUUACAAACGGAUAAAAUAGCGCUAAAUUCAGUUUGAGAAUUAAAAUUACUAGUGAAACCAUUUCCAACUAGUUUGCAAUCUAGUUCUAUGGAUACAUAGUGGUAUAACCCAAAUUCCUAACCCAAUGUAGUGCUUCCUUCAAGCUUUGGCUUCAUGAAGUAGAGUGCUACCUUUCCUCCACAUGGUUUGUGCUCUAAUGAAAUUUCCACGAUCGUCUCGAAUGCACAUACCCGCUCCAUAACAAUUUAUAUCCAUCAAAACAGCGGCGUCAACAUUGCACUUGAACGUUCUUUGAUCUAGAGCUGUCCAAACAGAAUUAUUCAUUCCAAACUGUUGUAGCACCAGCAGUGUCGCGCUGCUGUCCUAGCCUUUCAGCUCCAUAAUGCGGUUGCCAAUUGCAUAAUUACCAAAAU
rnacentral:lncRNA from 1 species